GCCUGGCGCGGUGGCACAUGCCUGUAGUCCCAGCUACUCAGGAGGCUGGAGUGGGAGGGUCGCUUGGGCCCAGGAGUUCUGAGCUGUGGUGCGCUCUGCCUAUCCCGUGUCUGCACUAAGUCUGGCAUCAAUAUGGUGACCUCCUCGGAGCGGGGGACCACCACCAGGUCGCCUAAGGAGGGGUGAACUGGCCCAGGUCAGAACAGAGCAGGUCAAAAUUCCCGUGCUGAUCAGUAGUGGGAUCGCGCCUGUGAAUAGCCACUGCACUCCAGCCUGGGCAACAUAGUUAUACUCUGCCUU
rnacentral:SRP_RNA from 1 species